GUAAUUUUUGAAGCCAGGAAUGAAAGGCUGGGGGGUUGCUUAAUCGCACUCCAAUAGACAUUGCUGAGUUGUCUUUGCUUACCUGCUGUGCAAAUGAACCCAAACGAGGAGUCUCAGGGCCCCUCCCAAGAGGAUGUUUCCUGACAAAAAUGGGGAAGACCUGUCUUAAAAACCAGCUGAGAACAACCAUAUGGUUUGGACAAGAGCCAAGGAGCAGGUAUUACCGAAGGUCUUCAUCGUGAGACGUACAACCCAAGCCUCCUUGCUGCUUCGGAAAUUCUGGGUGCUUUUUUAUUGGGGAAAGGGUAAAAGUCUAGCUUGUGGCAAGCUGGCGUGCAUUUUGUAGAGGAAAUGUAUUGCUGCAUCCAAACUGCCGAAGCGACUGAUUUCGGAGGAGGCUCUGGGCAGCUUUCUGCAACGUUGCUGCUGUUCUCUUUGCUGAAACCGUUCACCAUGCUUGAACUUCCCAGCUGACUGAGUGCAGAUAGUUCACCCUCACCUUCUAAUUCCUGGUGCUGCAGUGGGCUGCUUUCCUUUGAAAUCAGUCUCUGGUUGUCAAAACUGCAUGGUCCAUUCCUGCAGUGAGAAGGAUCCCAGGGAACUUCUUGACAAGGGGCUUGCGCCAAGCGGUGAAUUCCCAGUCUUGCAGAAGGCAUUUCAUAGGUAAAGGAGAAGAGAAAAAGAGAAGACCCAGCAUUGAUUGUUCUGACAGAAGCAUUCAAGAAAGCAGAAAUGUUGCAGAGUACAUCGCACAAAUAAACUGAUGAUAGAUGUGAAGUACGUGGCUCCUGUAAGAGUAAGCAUCAAGAUUAAGAACUCUACUUUCCUGACUAAAACCUUAUAUCAAAUACGUUCAUCUGUUUCACAUUCACGUUAGUGUUUCACUGCUGUGAAACUGAUUGAUAUAACCAUAAGACUGCCUUUUAGUGAAAUGAAUUAAAAAAAAACACACACAAUGAAGUGACAGAAAAGGAGUUCACUUUGUACCUCUCUUGAAGAUGUGAAUAAAAAGAACAAAGAAAGUUAUUCAGUAUUUAAAGUAAAAGAUUUACAUCUACAUUUACAUUGUUUCCUAGAAAUCUAAGCAUACCUGUUUUAAAUACAAUAAUGUGUGACUGCAGCUUUUGCUUCUGUUUUAUAUGGUCAUACUGCUCCUCAAGUAAGGUUACAUCCAUCUUGGUUGGCUGCUUAUCAUGAUCUGAAGCUUGUUGCUCUGAGGUAUGAGUCACUGAAAAAAUACCAGUUAUGUAUUUGUAAGCCUUUACCAUCUGUUCCCACAAGGAAGAAAAACUCAUGCAAAAGCAGGCCACUUCCUUCAUUGUACUGGCAAAAAAAAAA